rnacentral:rRNA from 1 species
GUGAGGAAUUUUCCGCAAUGGGCGAAAGCCUGACGGAGCAAUGCCGCGUGAAGGAUGAAGGCCUAUGGGUUGUAAACUUCUUUUCUUAGAGAAGAAUAUUGACGGUAUCUGAGGAAUAAGCCCCGGCUAACUCCGUGCCAGCAGCCGCGGUAAGACGGAGGGGGCAAGCGUUGUUCGGAAUUAUUGGGCGUAAAGGGCUCGUAGGCGGAUCUGUAAGUCUGGCGUGAAAUCUCCACCGCUUAACGGGGAGCUGCCGCUGGAUACUGCAGAUCUGGAGUUCGGUAGAGGAUCGUGGAAUUUCGGGUGUAGCGGUGGAAUGCGUAGAUAUCCGAAAGAACACCAGUGGCGAAGGCGACGAUCUGGGCCUGAACUGACGCUGAGGAGCGAAAGCUAGGGGAGCAAACGGGAUUAGAUACCCUUGUAGUCC